rnacentral:lncRNA from 1 species
GAAUCAGCCUUCAUAUAUUUUUUUUCCUUCAGGGAUACUAUUGUCAAGAUGAGGCUGACUUUGAAGCCUGGUGCAGAGACAUACAACAGGUAAUAAAGGAGCAGGAUUUAAGUCCAAUGUUUGAGUUGACUGAGGAACGACCAUCCCAUUGGCCACCAUUUGACCCUGGCCAAUCCAGUAUGGACACCAGCUUUGAAAUAAGAGAUGAGGUAGAGGAGGACCCUACGUAUGAUUCUGAUGAGGAGUUUGAGCUUUUGUAAGCAACAGGAGAAGUGCCUUGCAAAGUCUUUUCACAGUGCUAAUGUCUUCAACAUCCCAACAAUGGGAAGCUCUUGACAACCGUAACCUGUGAUGCACUACUACAUCCCUCAUUAAAUGGUUAUUGCUGACAGAAACCAUGAGAUACAUACUAGAUCACACGUUUGAAAAGAACUGGCUUUGGAUUUAUUUGGUCUUAAUCCGUUUUUGAGACUUUGUUUAGCAUUCCUUAAUAAUGUGUUAAGAGCAGGCAGCAAACAAGUGUGCAAAAUCUUUGUACUUGUAUUAUCAAGAGGCAUUAAUUCCUAUGUAAACUGGUGAUGUUUAGGCUCUCCCUCCCACAAUCCUGCACAAUCCUGUUAUUGCGCAAUUUGAUUUAUUGCUUCAAGCUUUUGGUGUUUAUGACUGCUAAGCCUCAACCACCCAUCUCAACCCCCCCCCCCCCCCCCCGAUUAUCUUGGGAUUUUAACACCCAAGUUACUCCCCAUCAAAAAUCCUGCAUCUACCACUGACUGUAUAUGGGUGAAUAAGACAUAAAUGCAUUACAUUUUUGUAUUCCAUGAAUGUAAGAAUAAUUUGUUCCUGUGUUAUUCAUACUUAAAACUAUUAAGCUCGGUGGUCGAAUGGCAAGACGUCUGCACUAGAAAGCAGGAGGUCGUGGGUUUGGGUCCAACCGGAGUGAUUUUUUCCAACGUUCACUCGGGAGGUAGCACACUGAGUAUAUUUAUACGUCGGUAAAGGGCAAGACCUUAUAUUGAAAACUAUUUCUGUGAUGCCACACUAUUGUUUAAACUGUAGAUUAUAUUGCAUAUCUAUAUAUAGACAAAUCUACAGUUGACAAAUCACGAUUCUACAGCAACUUAUCACUUUCAAUAUGGCUUGGUAAAUACUAAUAUUUUCGUUAAGGAUAAUACACGCGGAGCGCACCGCUCGUGGGUGAAUGCCGCGCUACCGUGUGUAUUAACCUACUUAACACCCUCCAAGAAUUCCUCAUUAUUGCUUGAACGAAGGCCUUUGUACAUCUUCAGUGUUGAAUUUGAUAAAAUGGGAAAAUCAGUUUUGUUUAUUUAUGAGAAAAGAACAAUGACGUCACAUCAUUGUUAUUAUUUAGUGAAUAUCAUUUAAAAGAACGGCAGUCGUCAAGCUGCCACAGUAGCCUAAUGGUAAACGAGAUGAGCUAUGGAUGCAAUGGUCCCUGGUUUGAAUCCUGCUAUGUCUAUUAUCCAGCGACCAUUUUUUUUUAAAUGAAGGGAAAAAGGAGAACGAAAAUAUAAGUGUCUUGCUGUGAUUCUGUAAAAUUACUGAAUUAUACAUAAGUGGCUACGCCAUUCGUCAGAUGCCGAAUGGCGCGCCGUGCUCCAUUCGUGCAAAAUAAUGACGAGGAAAAAACAAGUAUGACGUCACAGGAGGGUGUUAAUAUUUAAGACAACACCUAGCACUGGAUUAACGAUCUCAGGCAGAUAAUAUGACCUUUAAUAUCAAAUGACUUAAUAUAAUUGAAGUGCUUUUAUGGUGCUUUCCAUUGUAUCAACAAUCUCAAAGCCCUUUACAAUUAUUCCCCCAGUCAUCAGGCCACGAGACCACUCGGCUGAAAUUCAUUCAUCUGUCCUCACAGGUACCCAUUCAUACUCCUGUGUGGAGAGAGGCAAUUGCACACCAUCAUACUGGAGUCAUACACCUUAACCACGGGACCAUGGCGUUUUGUUCCAUAAUGUCCUCCAAGCUUAAUUCCAAAUUAUAAGACAUACCAUUUUCUCAAAGAUGAUCAUUACAAUCUUGAAAACAUUUCCAUUAAGUUUUCAAAUGUGGUAAACAUUUGUUCAAGAAUUCUAUACAUUAUACUUGGUGAAUGUUGGAGCAUCCAUGAUAGUUCUCUUGUACAGACGCAUAGUAGAAGAUGGGUGACUGGUUGUUUAGCAGAUCACCUGCUGUCUUUGUUGCUACUGGCGUGAAGCUACAGAGUCUCAAAGCAAGCCGGCCAGCUUUGUCACAGAUGCCGCCACACGUCGUCUGUUGGUUUUGCAAGGGGCCCGGGGAUGCAAGUAGAACACUUUGAGGAUGUUGAUGGGUGACUGAUAUACUCCUCAUAAUUAUAAUCUCAGAAUACAUUUAUCAGUCAUCUCAAGAUUUUCAUAGGCAUCCACAACUUUUGAGAUAAAAUAAAAAGACUAUCGUGAUCAUUUAGAA